CCGAAUACAUUAGCAUGGGAUAAUGGAAUAGGACCCUGUCCUCCUAUUUUCAGUUGGUUUUGGCAGCGCGAGGACUAGGGUAAUGAUUAAUAGGGAUAGUUGGGGGCAUUAAUAUUUAAUUGUCAGAGGUGAAAUUCUUGGAUUUAUGAAAGAUUAACUUCUGCGAAAGCAUCUGCCAAGGAUGUUUUCAUUAAUCAAGAACGAAAGUUAGGGGAUCGAAGACGAUCAGAUACCGUCGUAGUCUUAACCAUAAACGAUGCCGACCAGCGAUUAGGAGACGUUGAAUACAAAACACCACCAUCGGUGCGGUCGUCCUUGGCGUCGGUCUUUCGGGGCCGGCGCGGGGACGGCUUAGCCCGGUGGCACCGGUGAAUGACUCCCUAGCA
rnacentral:rRNA from 1 species